rnacentral:rRNA from 1 species
UACGUAGGGGGCAAGCGUUGUCCGGAUUUAUUGGGCGUAAAGAGCGUGUAGGCGGUUUGGUAGGUCCGCUGUGAAAACUCGAGGCUCAACCUCGAGACGCCGGUGGAAACCAUCAGGCUAGAGUCCGGAAGAGGAGAGUGGAAUUCCUGGUGUAGCGGUGAAAUGCGCAGAUAUCGGGAAGAACACCCGUGGCUAAGGCGGCUCUCUAGUACGUGACUGACGCUGAGACGCGAAAGCGUGGGGAGCGAACAGG